rnacentral:ncRNA from 1 species
AAGACGAUCAGAUACCGUCGUAGUUCCGACCAUAAAAAGAUGCUGACUAGCAAUCCGAUGGAGUUAUUCCCAUGACUCACCAGGCAGCUUCUGGGAAACCAUAGUCUUUGGGUUCCUGGGGAGUAUGGUUGCAAAGCUGAAACCUAAAGGAAUUGACGGAAGGGCACCAACCAGGAAUGGAACCUGUGGCUUAACAUGGGAAACCUCACCCGGCCUGGACACGAAAAGGAUUGACAGAUUGAUAGCUCUUUCUCAAUAGGAUGGAGGGUCUGAACAAGUCAGCUAAAUUCAUACAGAAUAAUGUGGCUAAUGCUUUUCCUUAUUUAGAUAUGGUCAGGAGAUACAAUACUAUAGUAUUUUUAAAAAUAAAUAAAAGCAAGGAAGCAGAGUCAAUAUGUCAGAUCAGUCUUUGAGUUCUUCUUGGCUUCUCUCAGGUCAACA